rnacentral:rRNA from 11 species
ACACAUAAUAUAGCACCUGGAAGUCACCCAACCCUGUCUGCUCUUGCAAGCUAAGCAGGACCAGCUCUGGCUAGAACCCGGAUGGGAGACUGCCACUGUAUCACAGGUACUGUAGGUU